CGGGGCGUAGCGCAGCCCGGUAGCGCGCGUCGUUCGGGACGACGAAGUCGGAGGUUCAAAUCCUCUCGCCCCGACCA
rnacentral:tRNA from 1 species